rnacentral:misc_RNA from 1 species
AAACGGCAAAAUGGCGACCUGGAACAGGUCUAGGUAUCUGCUCCUCUCGGCUCUAGGCUUCAUUUCGGUGGGCUUUUUAUUUUUUAUUAUUUCUUUCGCGACACCGAACUGGCUGGAAGCAGAUGAUCGCUACAAAAUGACGAAUGGAUUUGUUAAGUUGGGGUUAUGGGAGGCCUGCUUUAACCACUGGACAUACUUCAAUGAUUACAACGGGAAGAUAUACGAUGGCUGUUGGUGGAUUUAUUCCUACGAGUACCGACCAAUCUUCCACUGGAUCAACCCAUCCUGGUUCCUGUCUAUACAAGUGAUGAUGACCUUGACCAUGUUAGCAGAGCUGGUCAUCCUCGCUCUGAUCAUUCUGUUCAUCCUCAACAUCUGUCACGGUCGGAACAGCUUCGGGGCGCUCAUGUCUGUAGGGGUGGCGGCCAUUGCGUGCGGCGUAGUUACCGGGAUCUGUAUCCUGAUCUUCGGCACCAUGUCCGUCGUGAACCGGCACUGGAUUUAUGGUUCUGUUUGGAGGAUUCUGUGCGGCUUUCUCUGCCGCACAAGUCCGGUACGAUCAGAAAAAGAGCGAAGAGAAGCCGAGAUAUGCUGGUCACAUGAUCAAACCAGCCCCAUCCAUCUACUGAUGAGAUCCCGUGCCAUUACUCACAUUAUACUGAUCUCUUUUAGAUGGAGAAAUCUUUAGCUGUUAUUAUUUGGACAGUUUACCAAUGUAUUUUUUUCUAGAGAGAGAUGUUUUCUCAGUUUCCACAAUACAUUCCACUGCAUGAUAUCAUACUCAUUGUAUUACAUCUGUUUUCAUCGUAAACAGACCAUUCAUUGCUAUCUAAUCAUCUGGUUUGUAAAUAUUAUGUAACACAAUUACAUUAGUCAUUCACGACGUCUACUUUACUCUGCAUACAAAAUUGAAAAUUUUAAACACUUCCUUAUUUCUACAUUAGUUUUCUGAUUUUUGGAAUGUCUGGCUUUAUUUAUAAAAACUAAUUAAAACUCUCUUUAAUAAUCAUGAGAACAGGAUGUCCAAUUUUAGCAUAAAAAAAUAAUGUAUGCUUUGAUGAAAUUCAACAUAGGAGAUACUGGUAUAAUGGUAUUCUGAAAACUUCUCAUGAACAAAGUACUAUGCAGUUUGACGACAUUUUUUUACUUAGAAGUUUCAUCUUUUUUAUACAAUGUUGUGUAUAUAUUAAAAUAUAUUAAAUA